rnacentral:tRNA from 1 species
CUCCCCGGCUGAGAAUCGAACCCCGUUCGUCCGUGUGACAGGCGGGAAUACUAACCACUAUACUACCGAGGU